rnacentral:rRNA from 1 species
CGGGGUGCAGCAGGCGCGAAAACUUUACAAUGCCGGCAACGGCGAUAAGGGGACCUCGAGUGCCAGGUUACAAAUCUGGCUGUCGUGAUGCCUAAAAAGCAUUGCAUAGCAAGGGCCGGGCAAGACCGGUGCCAGCCGCCGCGGUAACACCGGCGGCUCGAGUGGUAACCGUUAUUAUUGGGUCUAAAGGGUCUGUAGCCGGCCGGAUAAGUCUCUUGGGAAAUCCAGCAGCUCAACUGUUGGGCUUUCAGGAGAUACUGUCUGGCUCGAGGCCGGGAGAGGUGCGAGGUACUUCAGGGGUAGGGGUGAAAUCUUGUAAUCCUUGAAGGACCACCAGUGGCGAAGGCGUCUCACCAGAACGGACCUGACGGCAAGGGACGAAAGCUAGGGGCACGAACCGGAUUAGAUACCCGGGUAGUCCUAGCCGUAAACGAUACUCGCUAGGUGUCGGCCACGGUGCGACCGUUGUCGGUGCCGUAGGGAAGCCGUGAAGCGAGCCACCUGGGAAGUACGGCCGCAAGGCUGAAACUUAAAGGAAUUGGCGGGGG